rnacentral:rRNA from 1 species
GACGGAGGGAGCAAGCGUUGUCCGGAUUUACUGGGCGUAAAGAGCGCGUAGGCGGCCCAUUAAGUCGGCUGUGAAAUCGCUGGGCUUAACCCAGCAAAGCCAGUCGAUACUGGUGGGCUAGAGUCCGAGAGAGGGAAGCGGAAUUGCUGGUGUAGCGGUGGAAUGCGUAGAUAUCAGCAAGAACACCGGUGGCGAAGGCGGCUUCCUGGAUCGGUACUGACGCUGAGGCGCGAAAGCUAGGGGAGCGAACCGGAUUAGAUACCCCCGUA